rnacentral:rRNA from 1 species
UACGUAGGGGGCAAGCGUUGUCCGGAUUUAUUGGGCGUAAAGAGCUCGUAGGCGGUCUGUCGCGUCGGCUGUGAAAACCCGAGGCUCAACCUCGGGCCUGCAGUCGAUACGGGCAGACUAGAGUGUGGCAGGGGAGACUGGAAUUCCUGGUGUAGCGGUGAAAUGCGCAGAUAUCAGGAGGAACACCGGUGGCGAAGGCGGGUCUCUGGGCCAUAACUGACGCUGAGGAGCGAAAGCGUGGGGAGCGAACAGG